rnacentral:tRNA from 1 species
ACUCGGGUAGCUCAGCUGGUACGAGCGCCGCCGUGACAAGGCGGAGGUCAGCGGUUCGAAACCGCUCCCGAGUACCA